rnacentral:rRNA from 1 species
AAACCGUGUACGUACAAGCAGUGGGAGCCUCUUUAUGGGGUGACUGCGUACCUUUUGUAUAAUGGGUCAGCGACUUAUAUUCUGUAGCAAGGUUAACCGAAUAGGGGAGCCGAAGGGAAACCGAGUCUUAACUGGGCGUUAAGUUGCAGGGUAUAGACCCGAAACCCGGUGAUCUAGCCAUGGGCAGGUUGAAGGUUGGGUAACACUAACUGGAGGACCGAACCGACUAAUGUUGAAAAAUUAGCGGAUGACUUGUGGCUGGGGGUGAAAGGCCAAUCAAACCGGGAGAUAGCUGGUUCUCCCCGAAAGCUAUUUAGGUAGCGCCUCGUGAAUUCAUCUCCGGGGGUAGAGCACUGUUUCGGCAAGGGGGUCAUCCCGACUUACCAACCCGAUGCAAACUGCGAAUACCGGAGAAUGUUAUCACGGGAGACACACGGCGGGUGCUAACGUCCGUCGUGAAGAGGGAAACAACCCAGACCGCCAGCUAAGGUCCCAAAGUCAUGGUUAAGUGGGAAACGAUGUGGGAAGGCCCAGACAGCCAGGAUGUUGGCUUAGAAGCAGCCAUCAUUUAAAGAAAGCGUAAUAGCUCACUGGUCGAGUCGGCCUGCGCGGAAGAUGUAACGGGGCUAAACCAUG